UUUCCUCCCCACUCUCCUGCAGGCGGCAGAGGCAGCGGUGGGGAAAAGCGGAUUCCGCCCCGAGCCACACCGAGGAGAGCUUGCGGUCGCGACUUGCCGCCCUAAGCACUCUCCCAAGUCCAGCCCGCUCGGCGAGGACUUCAGUCUCCUGGGCGAACCUUGUCAAGCAAGCUGGGAUCUAUGAGUGGAAAGGUGACCAAGCCCAAAGAGGAGAAAGAUGCUUCUAAGGGUAAG
rnacentral:lncRNA from 1 species